CCUACGGGAGACUGCAGUGAGGAAUAUUGGUCAAUGGGCGGGAGUCUGAACCAGCCAAGUCGCGUGAGGGAAGACGGUCCUAUGGAUUGUAAACCUCUUUAGGCGGGGAGCAAUACCGGGCACGCGUGCCCGGAGGGAGAGUAACCGCCGAAUAAGCAUCGGCCAAAUUCGUGCCAGCAGACGCGGUUAUUAGGAGGGUGCGAGCGUUAACCGGAUUUUAUGGGUUUAAAGGGUGCGUAGGCCGGAUUUUAAGUCAGGGGUGAAAUGUCCGGGCCCAAACCGGGCCGGGCAGUUGAAACGGGGGAUCUUGAGUGCGCGAAAGGUAGGCGGAAUGCAUGGUGUAGCGGUGAAAUGCAUAGAUAUCAUGCAGAACUCCGAUUGCGAAGGCAGCAUACCGGCGCCCGACUGACGCUGAGGCACGAAAGCGUGGGGAUCGAACAGGAUUAGAUACCCUUGUAGUC
rnacentral:rRNA from 1 species